AGGGGUUGUGGGUACGACGCCAGCUGAGCCAGGAUGCCCGUCACCAGCAGGUUUACAGCGAUGGAGUUUUCCAGAAGGUUCUCAAGUCGGGACAACAGGACACUGAUGAACGGACCUGUGACGCCAUGGAAAACUACAAGUACACCGGGCACCAGGAGGGCAUGAGAAGCAGGAAGGAGGCAGCGCUAGAGGAGUAACAGUCUCUCUGCUUUAAGGAGGAGCGCUGCUUCCUGCUCAGGUGGCUACAGGGAAUCAGAUACCUGAGGACACAAAGACGGACCCAGCUAAGUCCCAGCAUGGAUCACUACAGCAACAUGCAGAACAGACCAAUCAGAGUCCUGAACAGAGCCAGCGACACUGUACCCAACUGACGGACACACAAAAGGCCAAAGGUCAUCUCACUUAUUCAGCAGGAUGAAGGACAGGAAGGUCUGGAGGAGGGCGGGCUCAGAGAUGGAGCGCAGGAACAGGUCCAGGUACGCUGUUGUGGUCAUCACCUCCUCCACAGUCAGCUAAACCCAGAAAUAGCAGGAGCCAGUACAGGAACCAGGAAGCCAUUAUAGAUGUAAGCCAGCAACUGAGACCGGAUGGAGGGAUGAGCGACCUGAGAGUAACAGAUAAAGACAGACAGUGAGUGACGUCACCUUGGUAACAGUGCUACAGAAGUCCAGUGAGUGCAGGAAGUGGACGAGAGCUGGAACCUGUUGACCCAAACAAGAGAGUGACGCAUCGUCCAUCCAUCGUUAAUCAAAUUCAUCCAACUAUUUAUCCAUUUAAAAGUCAU